AAUGGGGGAAACCCUGAUGCAGCCAUGCCGCGUGUAGUGAAGAAGGCCUUACGGGUUGUUAAAGCACUUUCAGUAGGGAGGAAGGUAGUGUAGUUAACACCUGCAUUAUUUGACGUUACCUACAGAAGAAGCACCGGCUAACUCCGUGCCAGCAGCCGCGGUAAUACGGAGGGUGCGAGCGUUAAUCGGAAUUACUGGGCGUAAAGCGCAUGCAGGCGGCCUGUUAAGUCAGAUGUGAAAGCCCGGGGCUUAACCUCGGAAUUGCAUUUGUAAACUAGGCAGGCUAGAGUCUUGUAGAGGGGGGUAGGAAUUUCAGGUGUAGCGGUGAAAUGCGUAGAGAUCUGAAGGAAUACCAGUGGCGAAGGCGGCCCCCCUGGACAAAGACUGACGCUCAGAUGCGAAAGCGUGGGGAGCAAACAGGAUUAGAUACCCCUGGUAG
rnacentral:rRNA from 1 species